rnacentral:rRNA from 16 species
UAGAGGCGAUGAAGGACGUGCUAGGCUGCGAUAAGUCUGGGGGAGCCGCCAAGAGGCUUUGAUCCCGGAAUGUCCGAAUGGGGCAACCCAUCCGUAAGGAUAUCCGCAUCUGAAUUUAUAGGAUGCGGAGGCGAACCAGGGGAAUUGAAACAUCUCAGUACCCUGAGGAAAGGAAAUCAACAGAGACUCCCUUAGUAGUGGCGAGCGAAC